rnacentral:rRNA from 1 species
AGAGAUGUGUGAUGACGCAUAUCAAUAAGCGGAGGAAAAGAAACUAACUAGGAUUCCCUCAGUAACGGCGAGUGAAGCGGGAAGAGCUCAAAUUUGAAAUCUUCAAGGUUCUACCUUGACGAAUUGUAGUUUAAAGAAGUGUUUUCUGUUGGAGUUUUGGUAAAAGUUCUUUGGAAUAGGACAUCAUAGAGGGUGAGAAUCCCGUAUUUGACUAUUAUUUCCAACUUUGUGAUACACUUUCAAAGAGUCGGAUUGUUUGGGAAUGCAGUCCAAAAUGGGUGGUAAAUUUCAUCUAAAGCUAAAUACUGGCGAGAGACCGAUAGCGAACAAGUACCGUGAGGGAAAGAUGAAAAGAACUUUGAAAAGAGAGUUAAACAGUACGUGAAAUUGUCAAAAGGGAAGCGUUUGACACCAGUGUUGUUUUCUCGAAAAUCAAUUAAAAAUGAUGGGAUGUUGUGUUGUAUUGACUUUAUCAGCUUUCUUGCACUAUAUCUUUCUUAAUGCACUUUUCGUUUAACAAGUCAACAUCAAUUUCUUUUGUUGUAAAAGAGGUACAUGGAAGGUGGCUUUCUUUUCGGAGAAAGUGUUUAUAGCCUUGUGCCUCUGCAAUCGGAGAGAUUGAGGUCUGCAGCGUAGAUCCUUCGGGGUUAGAUAGCACUUGUGCUAAGUUAUAGCUUUUCAUAGACAACUUGUUGACUUAUGAUUAAGUCGUGUAGCUUACUCGCUUAUGCUAUUUUACCUACGCUUAGGAUGUUGACAGCAGUAUAGACUGU